UACGGGGGGGGCAAGCGUUGUUCGGAAUUACUGGGCGUAAAGGGCUCGUAGGCGGCCAACUAAGUCAGACGUGAAAUCCCUCGGCUUAACCGGGGAACUGCGUCUGAUACUGGAUGGCUUGAGGUUGGGAGAGGGAUGCGGAAUUCCAGGUGUAGCGGUGAAAUGCGUAGAUAUCUGGAGGAACACCGGUGGCGAAAGCGGCUCACUGGACCGUGUCUGACGCUGAGGUGCGAAAGCUAGGGUAGCGAACGGG
rnacentral:rRNA from 1 species